ACUCGAAACUGACGCUGAGGGACGAAAGUGUGGGGAUCAAACAGGAUUAGAUACCCUGGUAGUCCACACCGUAAACGAUGAUCACUAGAUUUUGGUCGCAAGAUCAGAGUCCAAGCGAAAGUGUUUAGUGAUCCACCUGGGGAGUACGUCCGCAAGGAUGAAACUCAAAGGAAUUGACGGGGGCCCGCACAAGCGGUGGAGCAUGUGGUUCAAUUCGAUGAUACGCGAGGAACCUUACCUGGGCUUGAAAGUUAGUGACCGUCCCUGAAAGGGGACUUUCCGCAAGGACACGAAACUAGGUGCUGCAUGGCUGUCGUCAGCUCGUGCCGUGAGGUGUCGGAUUAAGUUCCAUAACGAGCGCAACCCCUAUCUUUAGUUGCCAGCGAGUAAUGUCGGGGACUCUAAAGAAACUGCCCGUGUAAGCGGUGAGGAAGGUGGGGAUGACGUCAAGUCAUCACGGCCCUUACGUCCAGGGCGACACACGUGCUACAAUGGUAGGGACAGUGAGUUGCAAGCCAGCAAUGGUGAGCUAAUCUAUAAACCCUAUCUCAGUUCGGAUCGAGGUCUGCAACCCGACCUCGUGAAGCUGGAAUCGCUAGUAAUCGGAUAUCAGCCAUGAUCCGGUGAAUACGUUCCCGGGCCUUGUACACACCGCCCGUCAAGCCAUGGAAGUUGGGGGUGCCUAAAGUCGGCCACCGUAAGGAGCUGCCUAAGGCAAAACCAGUAACUGGGGCUAAGUCGUAACAAGGUAGCCGUA
rnacentral:rRNA from 1 species